AUUGAACGCUGGCGGCAGGCCUAACACAUGCAAGUCGAACGAGUGGCGGACGGGUGAGUAAUGUCUGGGAAACUGCCUGAUGGAGGGGGAUAACUACUGGAAACGGUAGCUAAUACCGCAUACCAUCAGAUGUGCCCAGAUGGGCUUAGCUUGUUGGUGGGGUAACGGCUCACCAAGGCGACGAUCCCUAGCUGGGCUGAGAGGAUGACCAGCAACACUGGAACGGUGACACGGGCCAGACGCCGACGAGAGGCAGGAGUGGGGAAUAUUGCACAAUGGGCGCAAGCCGGAUGCAGCCAUUCCGCGUGUAUGAAGAGGGCCGUCGGGUUGUAAAGUACUUUCAGCGGUGAGGGGUUACCCGCAGAAGAAGCACCGGCUAACUCCGUGCCAGCAGCCGCGGUAAUAC
rnacentral:rRNA from 1 species